rnacentral:snoRNA from 1 species
AAUCCGUGAUGUAGGCACUUUCUGAUUGCCUCCUUGAAUCUCUCCCAUGCCUCAUAAAGUGAUUCACCAUUGAACUUGGUGAAGUUAGUGAUUUCGUUCCUCAAUCU